AUGGUUAAGGCUACCAAUGUCGAUUUGUCUCUUGAGGACAUCAUCUCUAAAACCAGAAAGACAACUGGAAGCAUUCAAAAGAAAUCCUUCGGAGGAGCUCGACGAGGAAAUACGAGACCCACUGGACUUCCACGCCGCUCCGGCGGAAGUGGUGGAUGGAAAGACUUGGACGCGGUUCAGAAUCAUGGAAUUUCAAGCAGAGGAAAUGAUAGCAAGGUUAUUAGAGUAAAUAUCUCUAAUCUUGCCCCAACAGUCAUUUCAAGCGAUUUGGAGGAACUCUUCGGCGACUACAGACUCAGCUCAGUUUCGGUCAACUUCAACGAGCAUGGUGAUUCAUUGGGUACUGGUGACAUUUCGCUCACCAAACGUGAUGCUGAGAGACUUGUUCAGAAGUUUAGCGGUGUCGCUCUAGAUGGAAAGGUAUUGCAUUGGGAUACAACAAAUCGAUAACAAAGACUUUGAAACAAUCAAUUGGGGCUGAAUCCUGAUUAAAGUGUGUGCUCCAGCGGACGCUCCUGAAUGCGUUCUGUUCUUCUUCUACCAGUUCACAGAAAUCUACUGUACGCAACAACAGACCCAGGCAAUCAGAAUCUCGUUGUUUCCUUUCAAAAAGAGACUUAAUAAACCUGUGUUGAGGUUUUUUUGUUGAGUGUGGCCGUUCAUUCGAUGAAGCUCGUUGAAAUUAGUUUUGACCCGUGUCGUGAGAUGGAUUGUGAGGGGAAAGCCGUUGCUGUCGACACGCAUUAAUUGAUUGGCUCGAGACUUGGUUAUUCAAGAUUUCUCCGUUACCCAAAUCCUGAUCUCAGGUGACACAAAAUGGAACAUGAAUAUUUCAGAUCAUGAAAUUCGCCGUCAUUGAUUCGAGCAACAUGGCUGGGAGAGUCGAUUUUGGAAACAGAUCUCGUAGUUCACCGGGAAGAUCAUCUCGUGGAUUCCAAUCGGGUCCUCGCAGAAACAAUGGCAAACCAGAAGAUUUCCUCCGCGACGGAGUGCACGCCGGUGACAUCAAGAGAGGCGGAGCUGGUCGAGGUGGAUUCCGCAAGGGAGGCCGUGGUGGAGCUCGUGAUGCAAAACCAAAGAAGACCGAAGCUGAACUCGACGCGGAGCUCGAAGCCUACAUGGCGAAGCGAAAUGCCUGA